CCUACGGGUGGCUGCAGUGGGGGAUAUUGCACAAUGGGGGGAACCCUGAUGCAGCGACGCCGCGUGGGUGAAGGCGCGCCUCUGCGCGUAAAGCCUUAUUGGUAGAGGAGUAGAUGACGGUACGUGUCCAAGUAGCCCCGGCUAACUACGGGCCAGCUGCCGCGGUAACACGUAGGGGGCAAGCGUUAUCCGGAUGUACUGGGGGUUAAGGGGGCGUAGACGGGCAUGCAGGUCAGGAGUGAAAGCCCGGGGCACAACCCCGGGACUGCUAUUGGAACUGCAUGGCUGGAGUACAGGAGGGGCAGGCGGAAUUCGUAGUGUAGCGGUGAAAUGCGUAGAUAUUAGGAAGAACACCGAUGGCGAAGGCAGCCUACUGGACUGUGACUGACGUUGAGGCCCGAAGGCGUGGGGAGCAAACAGGAUUAGAUACCCGAGUAGUC
rnacentral:rRNA from 1 species